CUAACUGCCCUUGGCCUGUUUCUAUGAAGCUCCCUGGUGAGAAGAGUUUGUCUUUUCCUUUGCACCCCGAAGCCCCUGCCUGGGCUAAAAACGUGCAGGAAUGCGGCAUUUGGAGAAAUUACACCUCUGAGCUGCCAGGAUAUAUUCAAACAGCCAAGAACAGAAGUUGGCCCAACUGGGACGCAUCCGUGGAGCAGCAAAUAUGCACACUCCUGGCAGUCAUGCAAGCAAGAUGGUCAACGUCAGAUACACAAGGCUGGCUUGAGCAGUGUUCACUGGGGAAAAUUCAUGGACAGGGGAGCAGAAACAGAAGAAAAACCACCCACCCCAAUGUCUUGCACACUGCAACAACUCUGUGAACACUGGUCAUUAUUCUACUGUUGUUAUUGGUGCUCUUUACUGGCCAAAGCUCAGUGGGAGGACUACUAUCUAACACAAGUGCCCUGCAGGACAGAAAGAACAAGAGUGCUAGAGCUUUUGUGCAUCUGGGCCAUUUUUUCAUUUGACAUAUGAAGAAUCUAAGAACCUGCAAGGUGGAAGUGACCUGUUCAAAUAGCAGCAAAGUCAAAAGCAGAUGUAGCUCUCUAUCUCUGAGCCUCUAAUAAAAUUAAUCUAAAUAGUUGUCAA